AUAUACCUUUUCAAAAGAAACUUUUCAAACAGUGUAUUUUAUCAAGCAUCCAUUUUAGAAGCCUUCACUCACCCCUAGGUGGCAGUGGAAGCAGAGGAACCUGCAUAGAAGAAAAGCAGCCAAACAUCCUUGGGUUACAGAAGCCCUGUUCUAAAUUGGGUCCUAGAAUUGUGUUGCUUACCUCUGCCCUACAGUUUCAUUUGUGAGGCAUUCCUAAGGUUUUUUUCCAGGCUAAUUCAGGUACCCAUAUAUGGAUUUAGAGAGAUGCUCAGUUGGGAUUUACACAGUUUUGUGUGGUCGACUUUAACAUUUAAAAAAUAGGAAACCUUAAUAUGGUUUAAAAAAGAAAAAAGGAAUAGGAGCAUUAGACUUGAACUGAGGUUGAGAAAAUUAUCCUUUGUGGGGUCCAGCACAUGGUCUGCUGCUGAGAGCUAGUGCCCUCAGGCAGGAUACCCAGGAAUACGAUGGCACUUAGCUUUUACAGCCAGUGAGAUGGCAUUGUGGCCCUUCUCUGCAACUGAAUUUAACAGAGGAAGUACUACAUGCUACCCCUGACUUCCUUGGAAUUUGUUUAGAGAUAAUAGUUAGGGGUGUUGUUUGGGACCUUUAUGUGGGUGGUACUGGGGAUUGAGCCCAUAAGCGUUCUGCCUCUGAGCUAUAUUCCCAGCCCUUCAUAAAAUUCUUUUUAAUUUUGAGACAGGGUCUCACUAAGUUGUUGAGGCUGGCCUUGAACUUAUGAUUCUCCUGCCUCAGCAGCCUCCUGAGGCAUGUACCAUUAUGCCUGGCGAGGGUCAUUUUUAACAAUAUACCAUACAUGCUUAAGGUUAGUGAGAGAAAGGAUAACUUUAGGGGUGAAGGGUGAAGAAC
rnacentral:lncRNA from 1 species